rnacentral:misc_RNA from 1 species
GAUGAAGAACGUAGCGAAAUGCGAUAAGUAAUGUGAAUUGCAGAAUUCAGUGAAUCAUCGAAUCUUUGAACGCACAUUGCGCCCGCCAGUAUUCUGGCGGGCAUGCCUGUCUGAGCGUCAUUUCAACCCUCAUGCCCCUAGGGCGUGGUGUUGGGGAUCGGCCAAAGCCCGCGAGGGACGGCCGGCCCCUAAAUCUAGUGGCGGACCCGUCGUGGCCUCCUCUGCGAAGUAGUGAUAUUCCGCAUCGGAGAGCGACGAGCCCCUGCCGUUAAACCCCCAACUUUCCAAGGUAGACCUCAGAUCAGGUAGGAAUACCCGCUGAACUUAAGCAUAUCAAUAAGCGGAGGA